rnacentral:rRNA from 1 species
AUUGAACGCUGGCGGCAGGCUUAACACAUGCAAGUCGAGCGAGCGGCGGACGGGUGAGUAAUGUCUGGGAAACUGCCUGAUGGAGGGGGAUAACUACUGGAAACGGUAGCUAAUACCGCAUACCAUCAGAUGUGCCCAGCUGGGAUUAGCUAGUAGGUGGGGUAAUGGCUCACCAAGGCGACGAACCCUAGCUGGUCUGAGAGGAUGGCCGGCCACACUGGAACUGAGACACGGUCCAGACUCCUACGGGAGGCAGCAGUGGGGAAUAUUGCGCAAUGGGCGCAAGCCUGAUGCAGCCAUGCCGCGUGUGUGAAGAAGGCCUUCGGGUUGUAAAGCACUGUCAGCAAGGAGGCGUUACUCACAGAAGAAGCACCGGCUAACUCCGUGCCAGCCGCCGCGGUAAUUC